rnacentral:rRNA from 1 species
CUCAGGACGAACGCUGGCGGCGUGCUUAACACAUGCAAGUCGAACGGACAGAUUUAGAGCUUGCUUUAAAUCUGUUAGUGGCGGACGGGUGAGUAACGCGUGGGUAACCUGCCUUAAACAGAGGGAUAGCAAGUGGAAACGCUUGGUAAUACCACAUAAAGCCUAAGCAUUGCAUAAUGAAUAGGUGAAAGGAGGAAUCCGGUUUAAGAUGGGCCCGCGUCCAAUUAGCUAGUUGGUGAGGUAAGAGCGCACCAAGGCGACGAUUGGUAGCCGAACUGAGAGGUUGAGCGGCCACAUUGGGACUGAGAUACGGCCCAGACUCCUACGGGAGGCAGCAGUGGGGAAUAUUGCGCAAUGGGGGGAACCCUGACGCAGCGACGCCGCGUGAAGGAAGAAGGUCUUCGGAUUGUAAACUUCUUUGAUUAGGGAAGAGGAAGGACGGUACCUAAAGAACAAGCCACGGCUAACUACGUGCCAGCAGCCGCGGUAAUACGUAGGUGGCAAGCGUUGUCCGGAAUUACUGGGUGUAAAGGGCGAGUAGGUGGAUCACUAAGUCAGAGGUGAAAACCCAUGGCUAAACUGUGGGAUAGCAACUGAAACUAGAGAUCUUGAGUACUGGAGAGGGAAGCGGAAUUCCUAGUGUAGCGGUGAAAUGCGUAGAUAUUAGGAGGAACACCAGUGGCGAAGGCGGCUUCCUGGACAGAGACUGACACUGAGGCGCGAAAGCGUGGGGAGCGAACAGGAUUAGAUACCCUGGUAGUCCACGCUGUAAACGAUGGAUACUAGGUGUAGGUGGUAAGAAACCAUCUGUGCCGGAGUAAACACAAUAAGUAUCCCACCUGGGGAGUACAGCCGCAAGGUUGAAACUCAAAGGAAUUGACGGGGGCCCGCACAAGCAGUGGAGUAUGUGGUUUAAUUCGAAGCAACGCGAAGAACCUUACCAGGGCUUGACAUCCCUUGAACUAUCUAGAGAUAGGUAGGGCCUACGGGACAAGGAGACAGGUGGUGCAUGGUUGUCGUCAGCUCGUGUCGUGAGAUGUUGGGUUAAGUCCCGCAACGAGCGCAACCCUUAUAGCUAGUUGCCAGCAAUAAGAUGGGGACUCUAGCGAGACAGCCG